rnacentral:rRNA from 1 species
UACGAAGGGUGCAAGCGUUACUCGGAAUUACUGGGCGUAAAGGGCGCGUAGGCGGCUCAUCAAGUCGGGCGUGAAAUCUCCCGGCUUAACCUGGGAACUGCGUCUGAUACUGGACGGCUUGAGUAUGGGAGAGGGAUGUAGAAUUCCAGGUGUAGCGGUGAAAUGCGUAGAUAUCUGGAGGAACACCGGUGGCGAAGGCGGCAUCCUGGACCGACACUGACGCUCAUGCACGAAAGCGUGGGGAGCAAACAGG